CGCAUCUGUGCAUGCAGCAUAUCAAUAAGCGGAGGAAAAGCGCAUUGAAGGAUCCAGAUACCUACGCUUAGGAUGUUGAUCUGUAGUGCGUGCGCGCGUCUAUACAUGACUCUGUGCAUAUCAAUAAGCGGAGGAAAAGGUACCUACGCUUAGGAUGUUGACGAGACUGUCGAUCUCAUCUAUACAUGACUCUGUGCAUAUCAAUAAGCGGAGGAAAAGAAACUAACAAGGAUUCCCUUAGUAACGGCGAGUGAGGCGGGAAGAGCUCAAAUUUGAAAUCUUCAAGGUUUUACCUUGACGAAUUGUAGUUUAAAGAAGUGCUUUUCUGUUGAAGUUUUGGUAAAAGUUCUUUGGAAUAGGACAUCAUAGAGGGUGAGAAUCCCGUAUUUGACCAUUAUUUUCAGCUGUGUGAUACACUUUCAAAGAGUCGGAUUGUUUGGGAAUGCAGUCCAAAAUGGGUGGUAAAUUUCAUCUAAAGCUAAAUAUUGGCGAGAGACCGAUAGCGAACAAGUACCGUGAGGGAAAGAUGAAAAGAACUUUGAAAAGAGAGUUAAACAGUACGUGAAAUUGUCAAAAGGGAAGCGUUUGACACCAGUGUUGUUUUCUCGAAAAUCAAUUAAAAAGAGUUAGAUUUUGUUGUGUAUUGACCUUAACAGCUUGCAUUUCAAUUUUCUUGCUUUUUUUAAUGCACUUUUCGUUUAACAAGUCAACAUCAGUUUCUUUUGUUGUAAAAAGGUCAUUGGAAGGUGGCUUUCUUUUCGGAGAAAGUGUUUAUAGCCUUUGACUCCUGCAAUCGGAGAGACUGAGGUCUGCAGCGUAGAUCCUUCGGGGUUAGAUACAUUUGUGCUAAGUUAUAGCUUUUUAUAGACAACUUGUUGACUAUGAUUAGUCUUGUAGCUUACUCGCUUAUGCUAUUUUACCUACGCUUAGGAUGUUGAUCUGUAGUGCGUGCGC
rnacentral:rRNA from 1 species